UUUCCAUGAAGAUAACUUUGUCCAGUUCUGCUACUGAAUGGAAGUGAUGAUAAUUAAGACUCUGAGAAA